AACCAAGAUAGAUAGAGUAUUUAUACAGCAUAAGUAACAUAAGCCAACCAGAAACAUGAAUCUAGUAGAUUAGCCUAAAUUCUUAAGUUAUACAAUUCUAUCCUUUUCAUUAUACAUUUCAUUAGACAUUUUAAAACCCCCAAUUGUAAGCAUACUGUACCUGAUGAUCACACAUUCAUUAGUUAAUUGCAUUAUAAUGAGUUGAAGUUACCAAAAAAUUAUCCCUAGGAAUUGAAAUAGCCAAGUCUCAACACAGGUUGAUUGUUGAACAAAAUUAUUUUCUAAAAAACAAAUAACAAAACACCUCAAA
rnacentral:lncRNA from 1 species